AAAAUAAUAACAAUAGCCAUGUCUUGCAGGGCUGUUGUGAACUACUUGAAGAAGCCCAGUGCAGUAAACGGCAUACAGUCAGCACUCUAAAAAUGAGAGCAGUUGUUAUAUGCUGGGGAUAGGGGUAGAAAGAAGGCAGGCUUGGGCAUGCUCAAGAAUCGAAGUAGCUAGGGCAUCGCUACUUUGGUUUUGUCCAGCUCAUUUUCCCGUGCUGAGAGAUGUCGAAGAUCAAAGCCUGUUAGGAUGCUGGGCUCAGAGUAAGAGCUUCAUGCUACUUAUUGGAUGAGAGGAUGAACAAGAGUCUUUGGAAAUCAGAGAUCAAAGGGUCGUCAGAACUAGAACUAGAACUCUGAUCCAUUACAUUUCUUUGCCUCUGGCUGGUGAGUUCAAAGCAGUCAGCUCGAGUUGAUGAUUGAACAUCGUUUUGGGUGAAGUAACAAGGGACCAUGGUUCAGUGGUUCUGUAGAAGCUUCAUGGCUGAGAAACUUCAACAUGCCAUUAUUUGAAUCCUAGUUGUCUACUCUUUGAAUGGCAGAAAGUCAAAGGUUUUAGAUACUACCAGCAGCUAUGGGUCUCAUAACAAUUGCCCAAGGAGAAAGAAUGAACUUGGUACGAACACAGGAUUAUAUUUUCUUUGCUAAUUUCACUAGAUUCUAUAGUUACAUUAGAGAACUGUUCCUUAUUUCUGGAAGAGCCCCAAUUUCCACCUUCCCCUUUUUUAUGCAUAGGUCUGGCAAUAAAUUUAACUUGGCUCUGUCUCCAGGCAAUCCAGGGUUAAACUGUCUCCUAGGGCACACAAUUUCAGUCCCUAGGGAAAGUAUGAAAAACCUUCUCUUCUUGUUCAGAAGCUCAAUUGAGUGUCUCCAUUUUAUUUCAUAAAUGAGAUCUGAUUUGUCUCCUAACAUGUAUUUUUACUUACUCAAGAGUGUGUCUAAGUUCUUUUCUUUCUCUCCUGAGCUGGUUUUGGGUUGUUUGCCUAUUCAUAGAAGGAAACAGUGAGGGAGAAAGCAGCUAGAACUCUGAUGAAUGGUUUACUUCUUGUUAGCAACCCAAGUUAAACAUUUAAUGAUGGAAGCGGGUAUGGGCUGAAAUGCCAUUUGGGGGUAAAUGCCUGGCUUCAUUUUUUCAUGCUCUCUUUACCACUACUCGCCCCAGCCCCUCACACCCUGUAUAAUGUCUGAGCAGGUUUUCUGCAUAGUUGCCAGUGCUUAUUUUUACAAUCUCUAACAUAACAGCUUCAAAUAUAAACACAAACAUAGCCAGCAUGAACGACAGCAUCUGCAUUGGCCACGGAGCUAAAACAGGCUCUUAGAAAUGUGCUUGACAUUUCCCGUGGCAGCUUCACAGCCUCCUUGGAAAGCCUUGGUCCACCUCUCUGCUGCUGACAAGCUCUGAUUUGGAUGAAGAAAAGGAGGCUCAGAGAGUUUAAGAAACUUACCCUCCUCACACCAUGGAUAACAGGCAGAGCCAAAAGCAAAUGCAGAUGAAGACGUUGAUGCUCAAAAGUCGCUAAUGAGAAGCUGAGCCAAGAGUCAGAUCCAAAGUCCUUCCAGCUCUGAAGCCUGCAUUGUUUCCAACGCAUGAUGUUGUCUGAAUGGCUCAGUGAUGGCUUGGCUGAAGAAGACUUCAUGAUCACUCCCAUUUUGAAGAUCAGCACAUUGAGGUUCAGAGUGGUGAAAUGACUUGAAGUUCCUGUGGAGAGUAAAUGGGAAACAUCAGAGGAAUGAUUUGAACCCUGGUCUGUCCACCUUCAGUGCCCAUAUUUUGUCCUCCAUGCUUUGAAGCACAAAUCAUGAUUCAGGUGAAGAAAGAUAUUUUAAGAGCUAUGAAGAUUGCUGGUAUUCUCAACAACAAGAGCUCUGUGGUCACAUGUGAGUCUAGUUUGGGUUGUUGCUUUUCAAACUUAUUUGAUUACAAAACUAUAGAUGUCAAUUAUUUUGCAAAAUGCUUAGUGCUGGAGAUGAUGAGUGCCUAGAUGUAAGCAUCUGCUGCUGGGUUUUGCUUUCAGAAGACACAGAGAAAAAUACAAAUUUAUCAAACCUAUUAGCCUAAGAUUAUUGUUAUC
rnacentral:lncRNA from 1 species